AUGAGGUCUUGCUUUAUUAACGAUUCCAUCAUAUCACUGCAUUCUCAGUUUCGUUCUGCUAGCAACUCUUUAAUUUGUCUUUAACAAAAAAAAUAUACUCCGCCGAUUCUCAUUCAAAGUAAGCCACAGAACUGGUAUUGGUUGAUGGGAAAGUUCAAGGAAGGCAAGCAUGAGGCAAAUCAAGAAUAUUAUCCCGAGAAGAUUAUGAAGAAAUGCGUAAUUUGUUUGUGUUCAAUUUUGGUGUGUGUGGCAGGAGGAACACUACUGCUUUGGUGGGGUUAUGAAUAUCACCCAACAAAUAGUCAGCUGUGGAUGGUGCCCUCAGGUCUCAUUCUGUUGGUUACUCCUGUAAUUGCUUGGGUCGCUGUUGUUAUCUCUGAAACCCGUAAUUGUAAGGUAGAAGAUGAUGACUCUAAGACGAAUGAACUUGUUGUUUAGGCAGGUGACUCGGCCGAUGCUGAAAGAAACUAUAAAAAAUGGCAGUGCGGUUUUGAUUUAUCAGUAUUUUAGUUGGCUACUUGUUAGAAACAUGUAGGUUUUACUUGUGCAGCAUUUGCCUGUAUGAUUACAGUAGAAACCAUAAAGCAAAAUUUAUGCUGACGUUA